GUUGUGGGAUGACUGGGAGAAAGAAGUUGCGCAAUAAAAGAACCAGGAGAACAAGCAUGGUCAGGCUGCUGGAAUGAUACAGCUGCAGAGAAAGGCUCGCUCCCUCUUGAGAAGUGUCAUCCCAGCGCAGAAGUGGAUGGUGUAUGUUUGCCAACACCCAUCACUAUCUAGUACUAGGGAGGGCUGCCAGGCCCUUGUGCAUGUGACCAUGAGAGUUCAUGUGAAGGCACCAGGCGCGGCUCAAAAAACAUUUUCUGGAAAUGGAAAACAGUAGUUUACAUUUGAGGGCUAGAUUAUGCCCUGGUCGUCCUCUGCAGUGGUGAAGGAGAGCUGGGGGGAGGAAGGUCUCCACCCACCCACCUGUAUAACUGUGGAAGACCUUUUCAUAUCACUGCUCCAGGAGCACAUGGGGGAUUGCAGGUGCUAUGCACCCAAUUCCCCCCCUUCAUGUGCAAGCUGCAAAGGAGGUGUUAAGUCAUGGCUUCCCCUCCUGGCGCCAGUCAUCAGAGCUGAGGGCAGGGACUAUGCUGUAAGAGCCUAAGGAGGGGACUGGGCUUCAGAUCCUGAGCUGCAACUGCAAAGUGUUGUCUCCAUAGCUAUUCACAGACCCCACUUGCAAGUCCCACUAGCCUAAAUCUGUCAAUCUGGGGUGGGGCUCUCUGCCACAGUUUGCAUAGACAUACCCUAAGAGAGGGAGAAGGUCUGAGAGAGGCUGUGGUUGGAAGAAGCCUAUGGAGACAGUAGUAAGGAGUUGGACUGAGCAGACCUUCCCUGCUGAUUAGAGGGUCCCAGUGUAGGGGCAGGCCCAAGUUUCCUUCUCAGCCACUGAUACAGUGGUAUGAGGCUGGGGAUGGGGACAUAAGGAUCACAGGGCCCAGAGUCGGGGCCAGAGACCUGAUCUAAGGACUUUUAUUUUGGGACUCUGUUACUCCAGAAGGGGUGGACUUCAAUUGUGACCUGGCCACAUCGCUGAGUGACUCACAGGAAGAAGCAGACUACCAGAGUGGUCACUGGUAGAGGAGAGAGCUGUGAUGCUACACCUGGCCAAGAAGAGGCACUCCAAUAGCGAGACCCUUCCCUUCACAUGUUGUGAGGAUUAACAUCUGCAAAGCUCUGAGUUCCUCAGCUGGAAGGAAAAUAAACCAGCUUUGAAUAAGCUUUGAA